GACGAACGCUGGCGGCGUGCUUAACACAUGCAAGUCGAACGGAAAGGCCCUUCUUUUGUGGGGUACUCUAGUGGCGAACGGGUGAGUAACACGUGAGUAACCUGCCCUUGACUUUGGGAUAACUUCAGGAAACUGGGGCUAAUACCGGAUAGGAGCUCCUGCUGCAUGGUGGGGGUUGGAAUGUUUCGGCGGUUGGGGAUGGACUCGCGGCUUAUCAGCUUGUUGGUGGGGUAGUGGCUUACCAAGGCUUUGACGGGUAGCCGGCCUGAGGGGGUGACCGGCCACAUUGGGACUGAGAUACGGCCCAGACUCCUACGGGAGGCAGCAGUGGGGAAUAUUGCAGAAUGGGCGGAAGCCUGAUGCAGCAACGCCGCGUGCGGGAUGAAGGCCUUCGGGUUGUAAACCGCUUUCGCCUGUGACGAAGCGUGAGUGACGGUAAUGGGUAAAGAAGCACCGGCUAACUACGUG
rnacentral:rRNA from 1 species